CCUACGGGCGGCAGCAGUGGGGAAUAUUGCACAAUGGGGGGAACCCUGAUGCAGCAACGCCGCGUGAGUGAAGAGUUAUUUCGGUAUGUAAAGCUCUAUCAGCAGGGAAGCAGAUGACGGUACCUGAGUAAGCAGCCCCGGCUAACUACGUGCCAGCAGCCGCGGUAAUACGUCGGGGGCAAGCGUUAUCCGGAUUUACUGGUUGGAAAGGGGGCUUAGACGGGCAGGCAAGUCUGGAGGGAAAGCCCGGGGCUCAACCCCGGGACUGAUUGGGAAACGGCCUGGCUGGAGUGCUGGAGAGGCAAGCGGAAUUCCUAGUGUAGCGGUGAAAUGCGUAGAUAUUAGGAAGAACACCAGUGGCGAAGGCGGCUUGCUGGACAGUAACUGACGUUGAGGCUCGAAAGCGUGGGGAGCAAACAGGAUUAGAUACCCCAGUAGUC
rnacentral:rRNA from 1 species